UACGAAGGGGGCUAGCGUUGCUCGGAAUCACUGGGCGUAAAGCGCACGUAGGCGGCUUUCUAAGUCAGGGGUGAAAUCCUGGAGCUCAACUCCAGAACUGCCUUUGAUACUGGGGAGCUCGAGUCCGGAAGAGGUGAGUGGAACUCCGAGUGUAGAGGUGAAAUUCGUAGAUAUUCGGAAAGAACACCAGUGGCGAAGGCGGCUCACUGGUCCGGUACUGACGCUGAGGUGCGAAAAGCGUGGGGAGCAAACAGGAUUAGAUACCCGGG
rnacentral:rRNA from 1 species